ensembl:lncRNA
UUGGCUUUGGGGGUGACCGUGAGAUAUACCUGCUGGAACGGGUGCUACGGAUGGGUGCAGCUAUGGUGACCAGCGAGCAGAGAUAAGGACCUGAGCCCUAGGACCAUGCCUCAGGACUACCUGGCACGAUGACUCCUUUCUGUCCCCAGUCCACCUGGCCAUGCUGCUGCUCCAGUUUCAACUGUUCUGCCUCCGGCUAUGGAAUCCUGACCUGUUCACCGGACGUGCUACCUGUCCCAGACCUGCUGUUUUCAACUCUAGAGACAGCAGGAGCGGCAGAGAUACUCUCAAUGAUCGGCUAUGAAAAGCCAACUGACAUUUACUCCUGAGGUGCUGACCUGUUGCACCCUCGACAACUACUGUGAUUAUUAUUAUUUGACCAUGCUGGUCAUUUAUAAACAUUUGAACAUCUUGGCCAUGUUCUGUUAUAAUCUCCACCCAGCACAGCCAGAAGAGGACUGGCCACCCCUUAUAGCCUGGUUCCUCUCUAGGUUUCCUCCUAGGUUUUGGCCUUUCUAGGGAUUUUUUCCUAGCCACCGUGCUUCUACACCUGCAUUGCUUGCUGUUUGGGGUUUUAGGCUGGGUUUCUGUACAGCACUUUGAGAUAUCAGCUGAUGUAAGAAGGGCUAUAGAAAUACAUUUGAUUUGAUUUGGCCUCCAUCGAUAAAACAUUUUGGCAAUCAGCGUUGAGCUGAGAUGAGCUGAACUGUGGGUUGUCCUGGUGCAGCAAAACGCCCCCUAAGGAUGGCCAGUUUGGAUUUGGCUUCACACUAAUGAAAUCAAUUUCUAAGCAAAACUUAAUUGUCUGUUUCUGGUCUGCUUGUGUUGAUGUCCUGUAUUAGCAUUUUUCUUUUUAAUCCCAGCCCCUAUCUCCGCAGGAGGCCUUUUGCCUCUUUGUAGGCCGUCAUUGUAAAUAAGAAUUUGUUCUUAAUUCACUUGCCUAGUUUUUAAAAAAAAGGUUAAAUAAAUACAUUAAAAAAGUAGCUAGCUUACUAGGACAGCCACGUGAUAUUGAAUAACAUUGAUUGGACUAAAUCAUUUUUGGUAUCUUUAACCACAUAUAUUUGAUCUUUAAGCAUAUAUAGCACUGUUGAUUUGAUGAAUGUUUAAAUAGCCUUGUUGAUUUGAUAAAUGUCUAAAUGGAAAUGAUGCUGGAAUGGCGGAGACAGUGCUCCUGUUGUUUUUGCGCUGACUUGCGGUAACUCUGUUGUUCUAAAUCAGUAGUUGUUGAGUAAACUGUAAAAACCUUAACUUGCUUGACCGUGCUGCAGGUGACUUAACUGUUUGUUACAUGCAAUAUUUGCUUUGUGGACUUCAGCGGACAGAUGUCGCUCUGCAGUUUUGUGAUGAAACAAACGUAAGGGUAGUUGAAUUUAUCCUGUUACUGAGUGACUGUUGUUUUUGUUGUCACGACCUUAUUGUAUAUCAUGGUGGCGUAUGAACGAAUCGGUUAUAGAACAAACAAUGCAAUUAUCACAACAAAGAUUGUAUUGCUUUUUUUACUGGCUUGGCUUGGCUUCCUCAGGGAUUUUACCCACACACUGCUACUGCAUUAGCAUAAAACACUGGCAACACACUGGUGUGUGAGUAAAUCUCAAUGGAAAUGGUAAGUGAAAGCGUUCAUAUCUUAUCUGUUCUUUCAAAUUUGACUUCAGUGCCCCUGGCGAUAUCUUGAGGUGGCCUGCCAAAUACAAUAGGAUCUAGCUUGUGUGCAUUAGCUGACAAGCAUGGUUGUAUGACAGUAUUGCUUCCGUCCCUCUAUUCGGCCCAACCUGGGCUUAAACCAGGGACUUUCUGCACACAUCAACAGUCAACCUCAAAUCAUCGUUACCUAUCGCUCCACAAAAGCCACAGUCCUUGCAGAACAAGGGAAACAACUACUUCAAGGUCUCAGAGCGAGUGACAUUACCAAUUGAAACACUACUAGCUCACACAGCCAAUUAGCUAGCCAUUUCACACUGGUUACAGCUGUCCAAAGAUGUCCUCAAGUUUGCACCAUCCAAAGGUCAUCUGUGUUGUGAUCAAUGAUGUAUAUGUAACAGGGUUCUAUUGGUGAUUCCCCUUUGUUAAGCCAAUGGGUUUUUGGUUUUGUCUUGCCUUCACCUACUUAACAUGGCAUCUUAUUGGAUGGUUUGCAUGGGUUGCUUACGAGGGAGGAUGUUUUUAGUUAGAAUCAUCCCCGUGAACAAGCACCAAACCAGAGGUAAGUUGUUGGUUGCAAAGCUCUGUACGUCAAAAGGGAUUUUUAUACUCCCGAGUGAUGAUUUGAAUGUACAAUUUAGAUACAUUUAUGUAAAUGUUAUUAGAACAUCACACAUAAGAGGCAGAGGUUUUAUGUGCAUUUUGUUGUAGAGAAUUCCAGCUAGUACUAGCUAGCAACUUACUGUGUCUGGGGGGGGUUGUAUAUUUUGUACAGUACGUGAGUGCAGAGUUGGAUGGUGAGCCGUGCAAUUUUGUGCUUUCUAUCAGGUACAUUGUUGAAAAUAUUAUAUGUUGUAAUUGUUGUAUCUACGUUGCCCAGUGAACAAGCACAAAACCAGCGUGCGUGAGUGCAGAGUUGGAUGGUGAGCCAUGCAUUGCAUGACGUGCAAUUUUGUGCUGUUUCUAUCAGAGUAAAUCUCCAUGACUGGUGCUAUCAUGACACAAGGCGAGACCCAGAUGCAGACAUAGGAGGCAGAUGGUUGGAGUCUUACAAUGUUUAUUCAGCCAAAAGGAGUAGGCAAGAGAAUGGUCGUGGACAGGCAAAAGGUCAAAACCAGAUCAGAGUCCAGGAGGUACAGAGUGGCAGACAGGCCCAUGGUCAAGGCAGGCUGAAUGGUCAGGCAGGGGGUUACAAAGUCCAGAAACAGGCAAGGGUCAAGACCGGGAGGACUAGAAAAAAGGAGGAAAUGCAAAAAGCAGGAGAACGGGAAAACCGCUGGUUGACUUGGAAACAUAUAAGACGAACUGGCACAGAGAGACAGGAAACACAGGGAUAAAUACACUGGGGAAAAUAAGCGACACCUGGAGGGGGUGGAGACAAUCACAGGGACAGGUGAAACAGAUAAGGGUGUGACAGGUGCUACAUGUUAAAGUUCCUGUCGAUGAUUGCACACAACGCAAGAUGAGUACUGUGACAUUAAUAAACCCUGGAUUGCGGAUGCUUUUUAUUGGCCGCUGAGAGACUUUGAAGCCAACUGUCAGCCAGAAGGAGCAGUCCUCCAUAAGAAUGAAUGGAAUUCUACAGUAUUUCAAUUAAAUGUAUAUAAGUAUUUUUGUUGCUGUAGUAGGCACAGUAACAUUAGUUAUCUCAAAAAUUAUUCUUUAAGAAAAAUGUUUUAUAUACAAUAUAAUAAUAUAUUUAAAAAGUAUGCAUUAAGGUGUCUGUAAUAGAACAUAUGUGUAUUUUGUCGUUGUUGCCAUUAAUAAAUGUAUUUCUACAGCUUGCAAAAUAGUUUUUACAAUGGUGAGGGAGUGCCAAGAUGGUAAUCUAGUGUAUAUAUAUAAAUCAUUGGUUGUGAUCCAUUUCCUUCCUCUAAUCUUAUCAGACAGUAUUUGAACUAAUGCCACUUUUCAGUUUUAUAAAUUGACCCUUAACCUUCAAUAUGAAUGGGGAAAUAAUGGAUAUACUGCACAUAAUAGAAUAUUGGAAAUGAAAUAGUUGUAAACAAUCCCAAAGUGUACAAGAGAGUGUACAUGACAGUGUACAUGAAUGAGCCCUUUGUUAUGUGAUCUGGACAUUUGAAGUGGGCCAUAGAAACCCCCUCAGCCCUCUGGUUUCAUCAGAGGACACACAGUAGAGUGAGUCUAAAAAAAGUGUGGAGAGUAACCGUUUGUAAACCCUACAUAAACACACUGAAAAUACAACAAAAGUCAAGUGGAAAAGUUCAUUAAGUUCAGUGAAAUUGGUAAGACACAACAUAGUAGUUAAUAUAACAUCUGCAAUGCCUAGACAGGCAACUGAGGUCAUGUUUUCUCAAUCCAUGUACCGCUUUGGCAAUGUGCAUAUUCCUAUGCAAAUUGUCUGGAGCUAUAAUUGUGGGAAUAGCAAGAAUGGGCACUGGGACAAAUUUAUCAAGGAUUAUAUCUGUGGUAAGAGGAAUAUUGUACCAACAAUCCCACCAUUUAAGAUCAUGUUUCCCAGGGUAAAGCACUGCAGGCCAAAACUGGAUUAUGUUCUGACAUACAGUACCAGUCAAAAGUUUGGACACACCUACUCAUUCCAGCGUUUUUCUUUAUUUGGACUAUUUUCUACGUUGUAUUAUAAUAGUGAAGUUAUCAACACUAUGAAAUAACAGAUAUGGAAUCAUUUAGUAACCAAAAAAAGUGUUAAAAAAAUCAAAAUAUAUUUUAUGUGUGAGAUUCUUCAAAGUAGCCAUCCUUUGCCUUGAUGACAGCUUUGCACACUCUUGGCAUUCUCUCAACCAAUGUAAAAAAUGGUACAACUUUUGACAGGUACUGGUACUCUAUAUAAACAAACGUUUAAUUCAUUUAGCAAUAUUUUUGAGACAUAAAUUCCAACUGAAGACCAUGUAAAUAUGGGUUUAAUGUCAGUCUACUGAACAAUCCCCCAAUGAGGCCUUUGUUCUUGUAAAAUACCUGCAAUAAGAUAACACUAUCUUGGGCAAAGUCAUAACAAUCAACUUUCUCAAAUGUAUUAAAAUGUCAUCUUUGAUGCUCUUACUCAACUCUGAUCAUAUUUUUGAACUGUACCAAAC